rnacentral:rRNA from 1 species
GAUGAACGCUGGCGGCGUGCCUAAUACAUGCAAGUCGAGCGAACAGACGAGGAGCUUGCUCCUCUGACGUUAGCGGCGGACGGGUGAGUAACACGUGGAUAACCUACCUAUAAGACUGGGAUAACUUCGGGAAACCGGAGCUAAUACCGGAUAAUAUAUUGAACCGCAUGGUUCAAUAGUGAAAGACGGUUUUGCUGUUACUUAUAGAUGGAUCCGCGCCGCAUUAGCUAGUUGGUAAGGUAACGGCUUACCAACGCAACGAUGCGUAGCCGACCUGAGAGGGUGAUCGGCCACACUGGAACUGAGACACGGUCCAGACUCCUACGGGAGGCAGCAGUAGGGAAUCUUCCGCAAUGGGCGAAAGCUUGACGGAGCAACGCCGCGUGAGUGAUGAAGGUCUUCGGAUCGUAAAACUCUGUUAUUAGGGAAGAACAAAUGUGUAAGUAACUAUGCACGUCUUGACGGUACCUAAUCAGAAAGCCACGGCUAACUACGUG